GCUUUACAACUUCAAAAUUUCCCACGUUCUCAGUGAAAAUUUCUUGUAAACAUUCAUUUCCCUCUCACUAUUGGUUUCCCUCCCCUUCUAAAAUUUCUCCCGACUCGUUUUCCCUCUUCUAAAAUUAUAAUUUGUCUUUCAUUGUUUUUUUUCCUCUAGAACCCUAGGUUUUUGCGAUUCAAUUUGAUUUACUUUUCAAUAGAUUAUUAAUCCCGUUAGCCAAUUCAAAUUGAUCAGAACCCUAGAUUGCAUGUCUAAUCUCUGUUUAUUCUGGCUUUUGCAGGUCAUUAAGUUCGUCUCGUCUUUUGUGACUCGUCUUCUUCGCUGUCAGCCAAUAUAAGCCCAAACCAUGAAAUCAUGGACAGAUCUUGGACGUAUUUUGCGUGCAACAUGGAACGUGAAGUAGAUGCUGAAGAAAAUGACCAUAACUCAAUUAUUACUCAUUAAUCAAUAUUCCUAUCUAGCGAUGGCUAGUGGUGCUGGCGCAAGGUCUCUUUCAAGGUUAUCGCACCUCUGAUCCCAAGCUGCCAAUCAAAGUACUUAGCCCUCCAGAAGGAGCUCCUUAGUGUUGCUCUUAAAUUUGCUGCUGAAUAAUUCAAAGUUCCUCAACAAACUAGUGCUGCCAUCACCAACGGUAGCUUGUUUUCUCGUUUUGAUUCAUUUCGUUGAUGUUUUUAUUUGAUUUUUUUUGUAUGCAUUUUACAGAUGUUUCAGAGCAUCACCAUAUGCUAUUCUAGUUUUACUCACUUCUUUAUCUGCAACACGACAAUUGCAAUGCACCUUAAAAAGAUUUAUUCAAACAUCACUACAUUUAUAUGUCAUUUGCCAAACAAAGUGUUGAGCGUAUAUGUGAUAAUAAUAUAUUCCUGGUAAACAUACCUAACUUACAAAAAGUUCUAGUUUGGAACCAACUGUUAGUUUUUAUAACCAUCUUCAUACUUUAUUACUUUAGAUCUAGGGAUUUUCUUGGAGAAAGUGAAAGUUAGAACUACAACCAUUAUUUGUUUCAUAACUCAUGUAGUGCAAUGUGAUUACAUGCUGCCCAACGUUAAUUAUUAUCGGGGAAUUUUAUUUAUAUGGUUAAUACAAAUUGAAACUGGUCUACAUAAUGAAUGCAUUUAGUGUUGAUGCUCAUGUGGUAGUCAUUUGUAGCCAUUUAAUCACUGUAUAAAUUUACAAAUUUUGAUUGUUGGAGGAAUAGUAAUAUAUAACUUUUUUUUUUCCUAACUCAGGUUUUCAUUGCUCAUGCAUGUGAGGUUGUGUCAACUGUAUAUGGAGUAACUAAGCGCGUAUUUUAAUUUUUGGAAUUACAUCUCCCACGUCUUAAUACUCUAUUAUGUGAGGUUAUUGCACUCGAAGGGGAACUUAAAGCUAACGACGGUAGAUCGAGACAAAUCUACAGGGAAUAUGAAAGAAUGUCAAUGUUCACGAGCACAAAAUUUAUGGAUUUUGAGGGCAUAAUAUCGAACAUGCAAGUGAAAUGAUGACCUGAUCGAGGAUGUUAGUAAAAACAUAUUAUUUAAUAUUAUAUAAAGUUCAUAUUUAGUUAAUUCGUAUAAUUUAUUCAUACGUUCGAUUGGUUAUUGUUUUAAAGUUUAAAUCAAAGCGUUAUUGUAUAGUUUGUUGAAUACGUUGAGAAUGAAAUGACAUCGUAUCGAAGAUUGUUUUC
rnacentral:lncRNA from 1 species